UUAUGGUUUGAUUAGUUUAUUAAAAAUUUAUUUUACAUAUAAAUUUUAGUGUUAAYUUUUAUUUAUUUUAAUAAUAAAUUUUUAUUUUAUAAUAGUAAUUAAUAUUAAACAAUUUAAGAAAUUAUGAUUUAGUAAUAUUUAAAUUAGUAACAAAUUUUGUGCCAGCAGUUGCGGUUAUACAAAAAUUAAAUUAAAUUUUAUUAGUGAUUAAUUAAUAUAUUUUGAUUUAUAAUUUAAAUUUUAAAUUAUUAAGUGAAAUUUUAAUUUAAUUAAUUUUUAUAUAAAGAAUAUGAUUUAAUAAAUUUUUAUAAUAAACUAGGAUUAGAUACCCUAUUAUUAAUUUUUAAAUUUUUAUACUAAAAUAGUAAAUAAUUAUUUAUUGAAACUUAAAUAAUUUGGCGGUAUUUUAGUUCAUUUAGAGGAAUCUGUUUAAUAAUUGAUAAUCCACGAAUAAACUUACUUAAUUUUCAAUUUUAUAUAUCGUUGUUAAAAAAAUAUUUUUUAAUAAUAUAAUAAUAUUUUAAUUUUUAAAUUUAAAAUUAAAUCAGAUCAAGAUAUAGAUUAUAAUUAAGAAUAUAAUGGAUUACAAUAAAUUUAUUUAAAAUGAAUAUUAAUUUGUAAAAAUUAAUUGAAGGUGGAUUUAAAUGUAAUUUUAUUUAAUUUAAUAAAAUGAUUAUUAAUUAAAAUAUGUACAUAUUGCCCGUCGCUUUCAUAUAUAAAAGUUGAAAUAAGUCGUAACAAAGUAGAGGUACUGGAAAGUGUUUCUAGAAAGAA
rnacentral:ncRNA from 1 species